UACGUAGGGAGCAAGCGUUGUCCGGAUUCACUGGGCGUAAAGGGUGCGUAGGCGGGUUUUUAAGUCAGAGGUGAAAUCCUGGAGCUCAACUCCAGAACUGCCUUUGAUACUGAAAGUCUUGAGUAUGGGAGAGGUGAGUGGAACUGCGAGUGUAGAGGUGAAAUUCGUAGAUAUUCGCAAGAACAUCAGUGGCGAAGGCGGCUCACUGGCCCAUAACUGACGCUGAGGCACGAAAGCGUGGGGAGCAAACAGGG
rnacentral:rRNA from 1 species